ensembl:lncRNA novel transcript
UCUCAGUGAUGUGCUAAAAGGACUCUUCUUGUCCAGAAACCUGAGCUCCAUGUACUAAAGCAAAAUUUGGAGAGCCUCAGAGACAAGAAAAGGAAAGUGAGAAGAGAUAAGGCAUCCUUCCUUGAGCGUGACCCAGGCCUGGACUCUCCCAUGGCAGAAUAGGGACAUCCACAGCAGUCCUACCCUCUCCUCCAGGCCCUACCCAGCCCCGCCCUGUUGGCUCAUGCCCACAACUACUUAACUUCUUGAGCUGCUUGAGGUUGCUGGAGCGGAUGGCAGCCAAUAGCUGGUCACGGGAGUUCUUCUCCUGGGCAGGGAGGACUUUGUCUCCCAUCUUCCUCUGGGUAGCUGAUGUGUCGCUGGUUGUGGAAGCGGAGCUCGGUCAGCGUGUUGUUCUGGAGGAGGGCCCGGAAGAUGGCCAGGAUGCCUUUGCCUGUGAUGUGGUUGGAGUCCAGGUUGAGGCUGGUGAUGGUCUUGUUGGCCUUGAGCAUGAUGGCAAUGGCAAAGGCCACGUGGUCAUCGGCUCGCGUGUUGGCCAAGGCGAACAGCUUAACCACAGUGUUGAACUCCAGAGCCUCAGUAAACCGGACCAAGAUCUCA